rnacentral:rRNA from 1 species
UGGGGAAUAUUGCACAAAGGGCGAAAGCCUGAUGCAGCGACGCCGCGUGAGGGAUGACGGCCUUCGGGUUGUAAACCUCUUUCAGUAGGGACGAAGCGCAAGUGACGGUACCUGCAGAAGAAGCACCGGCUAACUACGUGCCAGCAGCCGCGGUAAUACGUAGGGUGCGAGCGUUGUCCGGAAUUACUGGGCGUAAAGAGCUCGUAGGCGGUUUGUCACGUCGUCUGUGAAAUCCUAGGGCUUAACCCUGGACGUGCAGGCGAUACGGGCUGACUUGAGUACUACAGGGGAGACUGGAAUUUCUGGUGUAGCGGUGGAAUGCACAGAUAUCAGGAAGAACACCGAUGGCGAAGGCAGGUCUCUGGGUAGUAACUGACGCUGAGGAGCGAAAGCAUGGGUAGCGAACAGG